AGGUGUCGCAAGACUCAAUAGAGAAGCCGGAAAAGAGCCGGCGCGGUCCCGCCACUGUGUCAGCGAGCGAAUCUGCAGGAGACGUCACUGGGGAAACCUGGGAAGGCGCAGAGGAGCGAUGAACUGGAGCCAGGAGAACUGCCUGAUC
rnacentral:ncRNA from 1 species